UCCUACGGGAGGCAGCAGUGGGGAAUAUUGGACAAUGGGCGAAAGCCUGAUCCAGCCAUGCCGCGUGUGUGAAGAAGGUCUUCGGAUUGUAAAGCACUUUAAGUUGGGAGGAAGGGUAUUAACCUAAUACGUUAGUACUUGACGUACCGACAGAUA
rnacentral:rRNA from 1 species